CGGCGAUGAGGAGACACCUACUGUGUUGAGCGACGGUGAAACUUUCAUACGCUAUUCUGAGCCAGCA
ensembl:snoRNA SNORD54 small nucleolar RNA, C/D box 54